CGAAUACAGGAGUGAGGUGCGAAACUUAAGUUUACUUCACAUCAUCGUCGUUUUAAUCUGUUUAAAGUUUGCCUGGCUUUCAUCACUGCGACAACCACUUGGAAUAUCCAGUGUCAUCACAGAAGAUAAAUGUGCCGUUCUCUCAAAACAUGGAAAGAAGUGACUCGCCCAGUGUUUCAGAUGACUAAUCCGGAGCUGGACAUCAGAAUCUGAACUCAGUGCGACUUCCAUCAAAAGUGACUUGUCAUUGACACUUCAGCCAGAAUUCUCAGCAAGCAUGUGGAGAAAUCAAAGCUUGGGAGGUCUUCAGGUCAAAACUUAAAAAGAAGAAGUUUUGGUGUCUGCUAGGAAUCAACACAAAGCAAUCCAAAGCCUCUUAGUGAGAUCUACAUAUCUCUACGUCACAGAGAUCAAUAAUGUACAUACAAUCAGAUGGAUUGAAACGGCGUGUAGGAGAACAAUGGCACCAAACAGACCAAUCGAUCUGAAUGACAUUACCUGGACAAGACCAACCCAUCAGAAAUGUACACAUUUUUUUUUAUGGAUACAAAAUGACAAUGAUUGCCUCUCCAAAUGAAGUUAAAAUUGUUUUCAUCUUCGAUGGUUUGGAUGAGUGUCAUCUGUCUUUGGCUCGCUCGACCUUCCGACAGAGACAAGAAGGGAGAAAGAUAUAUGUAUGGGUAUACUUGUAAUUAUAAGCAUAAUUGGGCGUAAAUUACAACUUGACCUGUUGUUGACAUAAAGAGGCACUAAGAGGCACUUACAACUGACACACUAAUAAAUAUUUCUGCGUUGCACCACUGAACAAGUUUAAACCUAAUUUGAUACAGAACCCUCCAAAUAGGACUAACUGUUGAAAAUUCUAAUUUUGUAUUUUAAAUGAAAGAACACUGUGGAAAAAAAAAAAAAAAA